UACGUAGGGGGCUAGCGUUGUCCGGAAUCACUGGGCGUAAAGCGCACGUAGGCGGCUUCUUAAGUCAGGGGUGAAAUCCUGGAGCUCAACUCCAGAACUGCCUUUGAUACUGGGAGGCUCGAGUCCGGAAGAGGUGAGUGGAACUGCGAGUGUAGAGGUGAAAUUCGUAGAUAUUCGCAAGAACACCAGUGGCGAAGGCGGCUCACUGGUCCGGUACUGACGCUGAGGUGCGAAAGCGUGGGGAGCAAACAGG
rnacentral:rRNA from 1 species